GAUAAUAGAGUGUUAUCAUGAAAGAUGAAAAAAAUAUUUGGACAAGUACCCUAAGGCAAGUUACAAUAAACUGAUCUUCGGUCCUUUCCUUCACAUCGUAACAUGUUGAAAGAGAAGCAAAUACUUUAACAAGUCCCGUAGGGCAAGUUAUAAUUAACCAGUCUUCAGUUUUCUCUCUCUGAUCAUAAUA